CAUGGAAAUACCAAUUCUCAUUUGAUCACUGAAGUUAAGCAAUAUUGAGCUAGGUCAUUACUCAGAUGGGUGAUCACUUGGGAAU